CAAUUCAGCUGCACCUUCCUACACAACCGGAACAUGCACUACAAACCUUCCAACCUCCAACAAUAGAACAUAAAACUCUGGAGCAACUCCUGACAAUGAACCCAUAUGAUUACCCAGACACGUGAUAUGAAUGCACAGUGACAAUCAUCGAAAUAGAUACAUCAAACACAUGGCGGUAUCCAUCAUGCACAAAAUGCGGUCGAAAAACAACUCCACAUAAUACAACAUAUUAUUGUGAUUUGUGUAAAUGGGAUGGCUACAAAUUCAAAUACAAGCUCAAAUUUCGAGCAUCAGAUGCAACAGCCAUAGCACAAAUGUUUUGCUUUGAUAAUGAAAGGGAAUUAGGCUUACACCUUUUUCCUAAUUUAUUU